UACAGAGGGGGCAAGCGUUGUUCGGAAUUACUGGGCGUAAAGGGCGCGUAGGCGGCCUUCUAAGUCGAACGUGAAAUCCCCGGGCUCAACCCGGGAACUGCGUCCGAUACUGGGAGGCUUGAAUCCGGGAGAGGGAUGUGGAAUUCCAGGUGUAGCGGUGAAAUGCGUAGAUAUCGAGAGGAACACCAGUGGCGAAGGCGAGUCCCUGGACAACCCCUGACACUGAGGCACGAAAGCUAGGGGAGCAAACAGG
rnacentral:rRNA from 1 species